UAGCCUAGUGGUUAAGGCUAUGGAUCGCCAAUCCAGAAACGGCGGUUUCGAUUCCCGU
rfam:Aedes albopictus isolate Foshan contig112331, whole genome shotgun sequence.